rnacentral:lncRNA from 1 species
ACUUUCUUGGUUUCUGGGUUGCCCAGAAACUUAAUUGGUCAUGGUCGGUCAACGACCUUUGACCCUUAAUAACAUUUAAUCUACACAUGAUCUGGGCUUGAUUCAAGUUCCAGAUCAAAGCCCUGACAACAUAGAACAGAUCUAUAACUUACAACACACUACACAUCUAAAUUCGUGCAUCUAGAUGUUAUGGAUCCAAGUUAUAACAACCUAGAUCACUAAAUGACAUCCUUAUACACAACUCAAAACAACAAAUCAAAAAAAAUAACAUAAGAUCACAUGAUUUUCAAUUCUUAGGGUUUUAUACCUUUUUGAGCCUUGAUCUUGAUUCUGAUCCUACUGAUUUGAUCUUGUCUUGCUAUGGAUCAUAUUAAGGACAGAUCCACUUAUUAUUUUCGUGGGUCUAGAGAGAGAGAGAGAGGCUUAGUUGAGUGUUGGUGAAUAAAUGGGACAAUAAAUGAACUUUUUUUCUCUCUCUCAAUCUAUAUAUAUAUAUAUAUAUUAUGUUGUAAUUGAAUGGCUGAUGAAAUGCAGUUGAUUGCUGGAGUUUUUUUUAGCAAAUGGCGUUGUUAGAGUUGGUCACCAAACAAUUAUAUGGCAAGAUUUACAAGCCACCUUAUUAAAGAAAUACAAUAAGGGUAUUUUAGUCUUUUUCCUUUUAAUUUUAAUGACAUACUAGUCAGUUGCCCUAACCCUUAGGGUUUAGGGUUUAACAUUUAGGGUUUAGGGUUUAACCCUAAAGGUUUUGCAAAUUAAAUUUCUAGGAUUUCCAAUUAGGUUUUCAAAAUAGAAAAUUAAUAUUUCUAAAUUAUAAUUAGGAUUCUCUAAUUAUAUUAAGAUUUCCUAAUCAUAAUUCAAGUUUGCUAAUUAGGAUUAAUAUUUCCUAAUUAAAAUUGCUAGUUUAGUAAUUAGGUCCAUAAUUGUACAUCAGGAUUUCUAACGGAGCAAUUAGGGUUUCAAAAAUGAAAAUUUAAGUUUUCUAAUUUAUAAUUAGGGUUUCCUAAUUAGAAUAGGGUUUCCUAAUUACUUUGAAUUGAUCAUUAUGAUUAAAGAUUCCUAAUUUAGCAAUUAGGGUUUCAAAUUCAAAAUUAGGGUUUUUAAUAAUUAGGUUUUCUAAUUAUUAGGGUUUCAGGUAAAUCAUUCAUGUUUUCCCUAAUUAGGUUAUAAUUAAUAACUUUUAAACUUUAUAGUAGCAUUUGAAUCCACAAGUUGGGGUUUUGAAACUACUGAAUUAGGAUUUAGGAUUCCCGGAACUGAAAUUAGGGUUUCUAGAACCGGUGAAUUUUCUAACUGAACGAUGACAUUCUUAAUAUAAUACUAGGGUUUGCCAUUGAUAUAGGUUAUCUGGUCAAAUCUUGACCCUAUAACCAUUUAAUACUAAUUGUUUAAAAAAAAUAAUAACUUUUGUAAUUAAUAUGUCGCUAAAUGAACCUAUAGCGACGAAACUGUCGCUAUAGGUGUUCUUGGCCAAACACAGACAUUCAUAGCCCGUUUACAGAGUACCUAGUUUGAUCGGAAAUAAAUCUAUGAUCGUGUUAGUGUUGGGCUGAUAAUUUGUGUUAGAAUUGUACUAUAAGUGUAACACUACAACUAGAAUCAAGAUUCAUGGCCAUUUUAUAACACAACAGAGAGAUCUCAGCCCUCAAAGUUGUUGUCAGGGGUUGUUCAUCAUUUCUGGGUUUCCCAGAAAUAAAGAACAAUUCGUGGGUCUACUUUCUAGACCUUAAUUCUUUGCUUUGCAAGCAUGCUUUAUGUAAUCUCAAGAUUUAAUCUUGUAGUCCUUGUGUCAGUGAACAAUAAUAUAACACUAGAUUAAUAUUACAACAUCACAUCUGACGGAUCAAGGCUGAUCAAGCCUUGUUAAAAAUUUUGCUUAUGAAGAUCUGGGUUUUCCAUAAAAUCUUCAUGAGGCAGUUUGGUAAACUAAAGUUUGACCUUGAUUAUCUUGGAUUCUAUACAUGAUCUGGGUAUUUUAAUGACUUUAAUGUGUAGUUCACAUACCAGCCCACAACAUAACAACAACAACUUGGCCAAACGCAUUACUAGAAGCAAGAUCCGAGGCUUACAAAACGCUUGUCAGACUUUCUAGGUUUCUGGGUUGCCCAGAAACUUAAUUGGUCAUGGUCGGUCAUCGAGCUUUGACCCUUAAUAAUUUUUAAUCUACACAUGAUCUGGGCUUGAUUCAAGUUCCAGAUCAAAGCCCUGACAACAUAUAACAGAUCUAUAAUAUACAACACACUACACAUCUAAAUUUGUGCAUCUAGAUGUUAUGGAUCCAAGUUAUAACAACCCAGAUCACUAAAUGACAUCCUUAUACACAACUCAAAACAACAAAUCAAAAAAAAUAACAUAAGAUCACAUGAUUUUCAAUUUUUAGGGUUUUAUACCUUUUUGAGCCUUGAUCUUGAUUCUGAUCCUACUGAUUUGAUCUUGUCUUGCUAUGGAUC